GCCUUUGUGGUGGUAACGAUAGCACACUGGGCUCAUAUUCGAGAGGUUCAGGUUCGAGUCCCGGCGAGGGCA
rnacentral:tRNA from 1 species